GUACUCAUUUAGGCUUUGACAACAGCUGAUAAUCAACUGUCAAUUAGAUAUGGGGAUGCGCUACCAAAAUGAACCAAUAGCGGGAAACAAUGAAAUCGCUCUUGACGCAUUCUCUGUAUGCAAAAAUAGAAAGUUCUAUAGUAUGUACAUUUUUAGAAAAUCUAGUAUGCUUUAAAUGCCAGGAUGUUAUACUAAUUUCGGCUUUUCAUCUAGUAGAAUUCGCUGCACACUUUCGGGAAUUUCACAGUCACAAUGUAUUGGAAGAAGGGAGCUGCGAGUUUUGAUAGCUAGAUAUUUUCAAUUAAACAACCAAACAACUUGGAAGAUGAUGAAUAGUGACGUUUCUGCAGUGGUGUUCAAAUGAUCUAUGUGAAGGAGUGUGAGCUGGAGGGGCAGCUGUCACCUGCAUGGGUGAGAAAAUAAGUGGGAGAACCUUAUGCAAAAAUACAUGGAGUUGAAAGCUCCCCCAUCGUAGUCAGCAUGGAGGGAGGGGAGGCUACAGCCGCAUCCUGGAAGUGGUAUGCAAUGAUGAAUGAGGCGCUGGGGGGCUACCGCUCCAUCACCCCACCGGUCAUCAUCUCCUCAUCCCAGGUGCAGCUGUGGGCUCCUCUACCUCCCAGAAGGGUCCAGAUGUGGAGUGCCAGGGAGGCACGCCUUAUGACCA